UACGUAGGUGACCAGCGUUGUCCGGAUUUACUGGGCGUAAAGAGCGCGCAGGCGGUCGUUCAAGUCGAGUGUGAAAGCCCCCGGCUCAACUGGGGAGGGUCAUUCGAUACUGAUCGACUCGAAGGCAGGAGAGGGAAGCGGAAUUCCCGGUGUAGUGGUGAAAUGCGUAGAUAUCGGGAAGAACACCGGUGGCGAAGGCGGCUAUCUGGACCGUAACUGACGCUGAGGCGCGAAAGCGUGGGGAGCAAACAGG
rnacentral:rRNA from 1 species